rnacentral:sRNA from 1 species
UUAUAUUCUCCACAGGGGGGGAUGAGAACCCCCGACCGGGGUUCGACAACUGGCGCAGCCAGUUGGACAGACCGCGCACACAGUAAGCGGGCUGCCCCGCAGGGGCGAGCGAAGCGAGUCAAUCCCCCCCUCACCGCCA